CCCGGUGUUGCAGCCCCGGAAGGGCAGCGCCGUGCCGCGCGCACGUGGCGUCAGGGAGCCCGCUGGGCCCGGGGCGUUGUGCGGCUCUGCCAGGCUCAGGCUGGCUCCGUGCCGAGGGUAGAGGGAGGGAACGGCUGGGUGGACAGGGCCAGCACAAAGCUGAUCGGGAGUCACGGAACCCUGCGUGAGACCUUGGCAGACAAGCCGACUCGCACCAACAGCAAAUGAAGUCCCUCCUUUGCCUGGGUCCUGCGCAUGAGUUGGAAAAAAUGAACUGGAUCAUGGAAGAGAGAGCAACUUGUGAUAAAAGUGUAAAGAGCAGCCCUGGGCACAGCUGGUAAGAAGCCAGCCAGCAAGGAAGAACAUUCCACGCAAAGGACACAGGUUAGGCAACUCCAGACGAUAGUACCAAGGAAACCACACCAUGUAGCAGAAAAAGCAUCAAGUUCUAGGUUCAAGCUUUGUCACUCAUGCUGGUCCAGAGGUACCCACGUGCUCAUCCAUAACGUGGAGGCAAAGACAAUAAUUAAUAGAACUGCUGUGCAAGUCAAAUGAGAUAUAUAAAGCACCUGGCAUGAGAUGGGAACUCUCUAAAGGGUGAAUAUUGUUAUUUUUAUCAUCCUUAAUACAGCUCAGUGUCAAAGCUCUCUCUGUAAGAAUGAUGAUGAGCCAC